rnacentral:tRNA from 1 species
UUCUGGCUGGCUUUGUUGGUACAGCAUGUGACUCCUGAUCUCAGAGUUGUGAGUUCAAGCCCCACGUUGGGAG